ACAUACGCAUCCUUUGCUGAGGAUACGGUUAACGGAGCGAAAGCGACGUUCAACCGCAAAAGAAGCAGAGGGGGCUUAGUGGUGGGGUGACUGCGUACCUUUUGUAUAAUGGGUCAGCGACUUAUAUUCUGUAGCAAGGUUAACCGAAUAGGGGAGCCGGAGGGAAACCGAGUCUUAACCGGGCGUUAAGUUGCAGGGUAUAGACCCGAAACCCGGUGAUCUAGCCAUGGGCAGGUUGAAGGUUGGGUAACACUAACUGGAGGACCGAACCGACUAAUGUUGAAAAAUUAGCGGAUGACCUGUGGCUGGGGGUGAAAGGCCAAUCAAACCGGGAGAUAGCUGGUUCUCCCCGAAAGCUAUUUAGGUAGCGCCUCGUGAAUUCAUCUCCGGGGGUAGAGCACUGUUUCGGCUAGGGGGCCAUCCCGGCUUACCAACCCGAUGCAAACUGCGAAUACCGGAGAAUGUUAUCACGGGAGACACACGGCGGGUGCUAACGUCCGUCGUGAAGAGGGAAACAACCCAGACCGCCAGCUAAGGUCCCAAAGUCAUGGUUAAGUGGGAAACGAUGUGGGAAGGCCCAGACAGCCAGGAUGUUGGCUUAGAAGCAGCCAUCAUUUAAAGAAAGCGUAAUAGCUCACUGGUCGAGUCGGCCUGCGCGGAAGAUGUAACGGGGCUAAACCAUGCACCGAAGCUGCGGCAGCGACGCUUAUGCGUUGUUGGGUAGGGGAGCGUUCUGUAAGCCUGUGAAGGUGGCCUGUGAGGGUUGCUGGAGGUAUCAGAAGUGCGAAUGCUGACAUAAGUAACGAUAAAGCGGGUGAAAAGCCCGCUCGCCGGAAGACCAAGGGUUCCUGUCCAACGUUAAUCGGGGCAGGGUGAGUCGACCCCUAAGGCGAGGCCGAAAGGCGUAGUCGAUGGGAAACGGGUUAAUAUUCCCGUACUUGGUGUUACUGCGAAGGGGGGACGGAGAAGGCU
rnacentral:rRNA from 1 species